rnacentral:tRNA from 1 species
GGCCUCGUAGCUCAGCUGGUAGAGCGUGUGCUAUACAAAAGCGUAGNGCGUGGGUUCGAGUCCCACCGAGGCUA